rnacentral:rRNA from 1 species
UGAGGAAUAUUGGGCAAUGGACGCAAGUCUGACCCAGCCAUGCCGCGUGAAGGAUGAAGGCUCUACGAGUUGUAAACUUCUUUUCUACGGGACUAACAUCUUCUACGUGUAGAGGGCUGAAUGUACUGUAGGAAUAAGCAUCGGCUAACUCCGUGCCAGCAGCCGCGGUAAUACGGAGGAUGCAGGCGUUAUCCGGAUUUAUUAGGUUUAAAGGGUGCGUAGGCGGGAUUAUAAGUCAGUGGUGAAAGCCCAUAGCUUAACUAUGGAACUGCCAUUGAAACUAUAGUCCUUGAAUGCGGUUGAAGUGGGCGGAAUGUGUAAUGUAGCGGUGAAAUGCAUAGAUAUUACACAGAACUCCGAUUGCGAAGGCAGCCCGCUAAGCCGUGAUUGACGCUGAGGCACGAAAGCGUGGGGAGCAAACAGG